UACGGGGGGGGCAAGCGUUGUUCGGAAUUACUGGGCGUAAAGGGCUCGUAGGUGGCCAACUAAGUCAGACGUGAAAUCCCUCGGCUUAACCGGGGAACUGCGUCUGAUACUGGAUGGCUAGAGGUUGGGAGAGGGAUGCGGAAUUCCAGGUGUAGCGGUGAAAUGCGUAGAUAUCUGGAGGAAUACCGGUGGCGAAGGCGGCAUCCUGGACCGGCAUUGACGCUGAUGAGCGAAAGCUAGGGGAGCAAACGGG
rnacentral:rRNA from 1 species